CAUGGUAUAGCUAAACACCCGACAGCAUUUCACUUACACCGAGAAGAAUUAUUCGUGAAAAUCGAAUUACCAUGA
rnacentral:tRNA from 1 species